rnacentral:rRNA from 1 species
GUAGCCGGCCACACAAGUCCAUCGGGAAAUCCGCCAGCCUAACUGGCGGGCGUCCGGUGGAAACUGUGUGGCUUGGGAUCGGAAGACCCAACGGGUACGUCUUGGGUAGGAGUGAAAUCCUGUAAUCCUGGACGGACCACCGAUAGCGAAAGCACGUUGGGAAGACGAAUCCGACGCUGAGGGACGAAAGCCAGGGUCUCGAACCGGAUUAGAUACCCGGGUAGUCCUGGCCGUAAACGAUGUCUGCUAGGUGUGGCUCCCGCUACGAGCGGGUGCUGUGCCGUAGGGAAGCCGCUAAGCAGACCGCCUGGGAAGUACGUCCGCAAGGAUGAAACUUAAAGGAAUUGGCGGGGGAGCACUACAACCGGAGGAGCCUGCGGUUUAAUUGGACUCAACGCCGGACAUCUCACCAGCAUCGACAACGGUAAUGACGGUCAGGUUGAUGACCUUUCCAGAGCCGUUGAGAGGAGGUGCAUGGCCGCCGUCAGCUCGUACCGUGAGGCGUCCUGUUAAGUCAGGCAACGAGCGAGACCCGCACUCCUAAUUGCCAGCACCGGCUUCGGCCGGGUGGGUACAUUAGGAGGACUGCCGUGGCUAACACGGAGGAAGGAACGGGCAACGGUAGGUCAGUAUGCCCCGAAUGUGCUGGGCUACACGCGGGCUACAAUGGCCGAGACAAUGGGUUCCCACCUCGAAAGAGGGCGGUAAUCUCCUAAACUCGGUCGUAGUUCGGAUUGAGGGCUGAAACCCGCCC